UACGAAGGGGGCUAGCGUUGCUCGGAAUUACUGGGCGUAAAGCGCGUGUAGGUGGUGGGCCAAGUCUGUGGUGAAAUCGCCCGGCUCAACUGGGCGGGGUCCGUGGAAACUGGUCGACUGGAGGACGGUAGAGGCGAGUGGAAUUCCCGGUGUAGUGGUGAAAUGCGUAGAGAUCGGGAGGAACACCAGUGGCGAAGGCGGCUCGCUGGGCCGGUCCUGACACUGAGACGCGAAAGGCGUGGGGAG
rnacentral:rRNA from 1 species